AUUGAACGCUGGCGGCAGGCUUAACACAUGCAAGUCGAGCGAGCGGCGGACGGGAGAGUAAUGUCUGGGAAACUGCCUGAUGGUGGGGGAUAACUACUGGAAAUGGUAGCUAAUACCGCAUACCAUCAGAUGUGCCCCGAUGGGGUUAGCUAGUAGGUGGGGUAAUGGCUCACCUGGGCGACGAACCAUAGCGGGGUUGAGAGGGUGACCAGCCACACUGGAACUGAGACACGGUCCAGACUCCGACGAGAGGCAGCAGUGGGUAAUAUUGCACAAUGGGCGCAAGCCUGAUGCAGCCAUGCCGCGUGUAUGAAGAAGGCCUUCGGGUUGUAAAGCACUUUCAGCGAGGAGGCGUUACUCGCAGAAGAAGCACCGGCUAACUCCGUGCCAGCAGCCGCGGUAAUAC
rnacentral:rRNA from 1 species